rnacentral:rRNA from 1 species
GAUCCUGGCUCAGAUUGAACGCUGGCGGCAUGCUUUACACAUGCAAGUCGAACGGUAACAGGGGAGCUUGCUCCUGCUGACGAGUGGCGAACGGGUGAGUAAUGCAUCGGAACGUGCCGAAUAGUGGGGGAUAACGCACCGAAAGGUGUGCUAAUACCGCAUACGCCCUGAGGGGGAAAGUGGGGGGACCGCAAGGCCUCACGCUAAUCGAGCGGCCGAUGUCGGAUUAGCUAGUUGGUGGGGUAAAGG